rnacentral:lncRNA from 1 species
AGUACACAAAUAAGUAGAACCAUAUAACAAAUAGUUUCAUAACAAGUAAAUAAUUUCAUAACAAAUCCAUAAUAUGCUAGGUCCAAUGUUCUGAUAUUCAACUAAAAUACUUAAACAAAAAUAUAAAAACAUAAAACAUAAAACACAAUCAACUCCUAAAAGAUAUAAAUCUCCAAUUGUUAAAUAUUUGUUGAGCUAAAGUGUUUCUAAAAUUGGUCCAAUGGUC